rnacentral:rRNA from 1 species
UACAGAGGUGGCAAGCGUUGUUCGGAAUUACUGGGCGUAAAGGGCGCGUAGGCGGUCUUCUAAGUCUUGUGUGAAAUCCCUCGGCUCAACUGAGGAACUGCACGGGAUACUGGAAGACUUGAGUUCGGGAGAGGGAAGCGGAAUUCCGGGUGUAGCGGUGAAAUGCGUAGAUAUCCGGAGGAACACCGGUGGCGAAGGCGGCUUCCUGGACCGAUUACUGACGCUGAGGUGCGAAAGCGUGGGGAGCAAACAGG